rnacentral:rRNA from 1 species
CCUACGGGGGGCUGCAGUAGGGAAUCUUCCGCAAUGGACGAAAGUCUGACGGAGCAACGCCGCGUGAGUGAAGAAGGUUUUCGGAUCGUAAAACUCUGUUGUCAGAGAAGAACAAGUUGGAGAGUAACUGCUCCAGCCUUGACGGUAUCUGACCAGAAAGCCACGGCUAACUACGUGCCAGCAGCCGCGGUAAUACGUAGGUGACAAGCUUUGUCCGGAGUGAUUGGGGGCGGUGCGAGCGCACUGGUGUGAAAGCCCACGGCUCAACCGUGGAAGGUCAUUGGAAACUGGGGAACUUGAGUGCAGAAGAGGAGAGUGGAAUUCCAUGUGUAGCGGUGAAAUGCGUAGAUAUAUGGAGGAACACCAGUGGCGAAGGCGACUCUCUGGUCUGUAACUGACGCUGAGGCUCGAAAGCGUGGGGAGCAAACAGGAUUAGAUACCCCAGUAGUC